rnacentral:rRNA from 1 species
UACAGAGGGGGCAAGCGUUGUUCGGAAUUACUGGGCGUAAAGGGCGCGUAGGCGGCCUUCUAAGUCGAACGUGAAAUCCCCGGGCUCAACCCGGGAACUGCGUCCGAUACUGGAAGGCUUGAAUCCGGGAGAGGGAUGUGGAAUUCCAGGUGUAGCGGUGAAAUGCGUAGAUAUCUGGAGGAACACCGGUGGCGAAGGCGACAUGCUGGACCGGUAUUGACGCUGAGGCGCGAAAGCCAGGGGAGCAAACGGG